rnacentral:rRNA from 1 species
AUUGCACAAUGGGCGCAAGCCUGAUGCAGCGACGCCGCGUGCGGGAUGACGGCCUUCGGGUUGUAAACCGCUUUUGACUGGGAGCAAGCCCUUCGGGGUGAGUGUACCUUUCGAAUAAGCACCGGCUAACUACGUGCCAGCAGCCGCGGUAAUACGUAGGGUGCAAGCGUUAUCCGGAAUUAUUGGGCGUAAAGGGCUCGUAGGCGGUUCGUCGCGUCCGGUGUGAAAGUCCAUCGCUUAACGGUGGAUCCGCGCCGGGUACGGGCGGGCUUGAGUGCGGUAGGGGAGACUGGAAUUCCCGGUGUAACGGUGGAAUGUGUAGAUAUCGGGAAGAACACCAAUGGCGAAGGCAGGUCUCUGGGCCGUCACUGACGCUGAGGAACGAAAGCGUGGGGAGCGAACAGGAUUAGAUACCCUGGUAGUCCACGCCGUAAACGGUGGAUGCUGGAUGUGGGGACCAUUCCACGGUCUCCGUGUCGGAGCCAACGCGUUAAGCAUCCCGCCUGGGGAGUACGGCCGCAAGGCUAAAACUCAAAGAAAUUGACGGGGGCCCGCACAAGCGGCGGAGCAUGCGGAUUAAUUCGAUGCAACGCGAAGAACCUUACCUGGGCUUGACAUGUUCCCGACAGCCCCAGAGAUGGGGCCUCCCUUCGGGGCGGGUUCACAGGUGGUGCAUGGUCGUCGUCAGCUCGUGUCGUGAGAUGUUGGGUUAAGUCCCGCAACGAGCGCAACCCUCGCCCUGUGUUGCCAGCACGUCGUGGUGGGAACUCACGGGGGACCGCCGGGGUCAACUCGGAGGAAGGUGGGGAUGACGUCAGAUCAUCAUGCCCCUUACGUCCAGGGCUUCACGCAUGCUACAAUGGCCGGUACAACGGGAUGCGACCUCGUGAGGGGGAGCGGAUCCCUUAAAACCGGUCUCAGUUCGGAUUGGAGUCUGCAACCCGACUCCAUGAAGGCGGAGUCGCUAGUAAUCGCGGAUCAGCAAC